rnacentral:rRNA from 1 species
AUAAGUAGCGAGAAGGGGAGUGAGAAUCUCCCCCGCUGGAAGACCAAGGUUUUCAGGGUAAAGCUUGUCUUCCCUGAGUAAGCCGGGACCUAAGCCCAGGCUAGAAUGCGUAGGCGAAUGGAAAACAGACGAAUAUUUCUGUGCCAGUUCUACUUUGUGAAGGAGGGACGCAGAAGGGUAUGCGCGCGGACGAACGGAAGUGUCCGUAGAAGCAUGUAGAGUGACUUGGUAGGCAAAUCCGCCAGGUUAGACUUGAGGUGUGACAUAGAAUCGUAAGAGGAAUGCGCAAAUCCCACGCUGCCGAGAAAAGCUUCUAACGUUAAAGUAGAGACUGCCCGUACUGGAAACCGACACAGGUGGUCAGGAUGAGAAAUCUAAAGCGGACAGGCUAACUCUCGUUAAGGAACUCUGCAAAAUGGCCCCGUAACUUCGGGAGAAGGGGUGCCUCUUAGCGUUCGUAUUCACGCAAUACAAAGCGCCGAGAGGUCGCAGUGAAGAGGCUCAAGCAACUGUUUAACAAAAACACAGGUCUAUGCGAAGCUGUAAGGCGAUGUAUAUGGGCUGACACCUGCCCAGUGCCGGAAGGUUAAGAGGAGGAGUGAGAGCUCCGAAUUGAAGCCCCGGUGAACGGCGGCCGUAACUAUAACGGUCCUAAGGUAGCGAAAUUCCUUGUCGGGUAAGUUCCGACCUGCACGAAUGGUGUAAUGAUUUGAGCGCUGUCUUGACGGGAGGCCUGGUGAAAUUGUAUUACCGGUGAAGAUACCGGUUACCUACAGUAGGACGGAAAGACCCCAUGGAGCUUUACUGUAGCUUGGUAUUGGGUUUUGGCAUGGCAUGUAUAGGAUAGUUGGGAGACUGGGAAGGUAUGGCGCUAGCUGUACCGGAGUCACUGGUGGAAUACCAACCAUUCCCUGCUGAAAUUCUAAUCUGUGGUUUGUCGCCACGGAGACAGUGCUAGGUGGGCAGUUUGACUGGGGCGGUCGCCUCCGAAAGAGUAACGGAGGCGUUCAAAGGUUCUCUCAGGUUGGAUGGAAAUCAACCGCAGAGUGCAAUGGCAAAAGAGAGCUUGACUGCAAGACUGACGGGUCGAGCAGAUGCGAAAGCAGGACAUAGUGAUCCGGCGAUUCCGAAUGGAAGGGUCGUCGCUCAACGGAUAAAAGCUACCCUGGGGAUAACAGGCUGAUCCUACCCGAGAGUCCAUAUCGACGGUAGGGUUUGGCACCUCGAUGUCGGCUCAUCGCAUCCUGGGGCUGGAGAAGGUCCCAAGGGUUGGGCUGUUCGCCCAUUAAAGCGGUACGUGAGCUGGGUUCAGAACGUCGUGAGACAGUUCGGUCCCUAUCCACUGUAGGCGCAAGAGUAUUGAGAAGAUCUGUCCUUAGUACGAGAGGACCGGGAUGGACAAACCUCUGAUGUACCAGUUGUCACGCCAGUGGCACAGCUGGGUAGUCACGUUUGGCAUAGAUAACCGCUGAAAGCAUCUAAGCGGGAAACUAGCUUCAAGAUAAGUAUUCUAUGAGGAAGCUUCGAGAACAGGAGCUAGAUAGGUUGGGGGUGUACGCGCAGUA